CCUACGGGUGGCAGCAGUGGGGAAUAUUGCACAAUGGGGGAAACCCUGAUGCAGCGACGCCGCGUGAGUGAAGACUUAUUUCGGUAUGUAAAACUCUAUCAGCAGGGAAGAAAAUGACGGUACCUGACUAAGAAGCCCCGGCUCACUACGUGCCAGCCGCCGCGGUAAUACGUAGGGGGCAAGCGUUAUCCGGAUUUACUGGGUUUAAAGGGAGCGUAGACGGCAGCACAAGUCUGGAGUGAAAUGCCGUGGCUUAACCCCGGAACUGCGUUGGAAACUGUGCAGCUCGAGUGCAGGAGAGGUAAGUGGAAUGCCUAGUGUAGCGGUGAAAUGCGUAGAUAUUAGGAGGAACACCAGUGGCGAAGGCGGCUUACUGGACUUGAACUGACGUUGAGGCUCGAAAGCGUGGGGAGCAAACAGGAUUAGAUACCCGAGUAGUC
rnacentral:rRNA from 1 species